AUGAACGCUGGCGGCGUGCCUAAUACCUGCAAGUCGAGCGCACAGACGAGGAGCUUGCUCCUCUGACGUUAGCGGCGGACGGGUGAGUAACACGUGGAUAACCUACCUAUAAGACUGGGAUAACUUCGGGAAACCGGAGCUAAUACCGGAUAAUAUAUUGAACCGCAUGGUUCAAUAGUGAAAGACGGUUUUGCUGUCACUUAUAGAUGGAUCCGCGCCGCAUUAGCUAGUUGGUAAGGUAACGGCUUACCAGGGCGACGAUGCGUAGCCGACCUGAGAGGGUGAUCGGCCACACUGGAACUGAGACACGGUCCAGACUCCUACGGGAGGCAGCAGUAGGGAAUCUUCCGCAAUGGGCGAAAGCCUGACGGAGCAACGCCGCGUGAGUGAUGAAGGUCUUCGGAUCGUAAAACUCUGUUAUUAGGGAAGAACAAAUGUGUAAGUAACUAUGCACGUCUUGACGGUACCUAAUCAGAAAGCCACGGCUAACUACGUG
rnacentral:rRNA from 1 species